rnacentral:lncRNA from 1 species
UCUUUAAGUGCACUGGAGCAGUGGAGAGCUCACCACCUCCAGAGGUAAUCGGUUCCAUUGUUGUGCUGCUCUAACAGUUAAGAUUUUUUUUCUGGGAUAUCCAGUCUAAAUCCGGCUUCCUGUAGCUUGAGUCCAUUAUUACAUUACAGAAUAAGAACACUCUAUGUAAAUCCAAGAACAUUAUAUGUCAAUCUACUGUAAGAGUACUUCAUAAUCACUGAAAAAAUAAUGUAAUUCAAUUUAGGAAAUUCAUUCAUAUAGGGCAAAUAGAAAAUAAAGAAUUCACUCAUUUAGAUUAAUGCAUGAGUUGUCUCUAUUGCCAUUAUAGCUUACUUCCCAAUCAUAUGGGAGGAAAAACACUUUCAAAAACUGGUUGUUUAGGCAGAAGUGUAUCUGUUUAUGCUUAGUGAUUCUGUUAAAAUAGUACAACGGCAACAGAAUUGCAUAUUAUUUGUGGCUUGACAUGUUUGCCUAUACAUUAGGAAAAACCUUGAGAACUUUAAUACAGGCCACUUGUUUCUAAUUUGGCUUCACAUAAUGAAAUUAGCCCUGAAAUGAUAUUAAAAAGGAACAAAUAAACACAAGUGCAACUGUUCCCCCAUCCUGUUCGCUAUAAAACACAGAACAAUCCAUGUACACAAACACACGGGAACACCGAGAAAAAAACCUAUCUUUUAGCUAUUGAGAUGAAAAGCAACGCUUCUGUUUUUCUAAGGCACUAUUUUGACCUCAAGUAGAUAAAGAACAUUAAACAACAAACACUCUGCAAAGAGUUACUGCGUCCUUCCCCCACAUCAGCUCUGUUUACAUUAGGAAAUCUACCCAGGGACUGGCGGAGGGAAGGGAAAGGCGGGAAGGCUGCCUUUCAUCGGCAGCGCUCAGUUCCACUGGCUCCAGUUAAAGCUGGCCCCUGUUUCUCGAUAUGUAUGCAAAACCUCAUCUCAUUCCUUCAGUUCUGGAGCCAGGAUUUGUGGGGCCACUGAGCAAGAUGCCCUCUCUUCUUCUUCUGGACCAAUAAAUAAUUUGUGGCAUGGGCUUUGCAGCUACAGAAAUGGCGGCAGAGCCACAUGGAAGGCUCCGACCACAUAUUUCCCAUCCCUGAGGUACACCAAGAAGAACACAUAUGACCACAGAACCCAUUUAUAUAGUGCUGAACCAUGUAUUGAAUCUGAAUGAAACUAUUGUGUCUGGCCUCUUGCUUUCUUGGAUUCACUCUCAGAACAGUGCAGAAGUAUGGGAUUGACUAAAUUGGAGUAAGACAAAAUGCAGUAACACACUAUUGAAGUGUAUGUUAAAAAAAAACAGCUCCAUAACCAUGACACAGUUAAGCUGUGUUUGGGGGUCAGUGUGACCUAAGUUGUAACCACAAUCACUCAAUAACAGAGGUAGAAAUAUGGAAAGCUUUAGAAAGAAUACAAUAGAUAUUCAUCUCCCAAUAUGGGGGUGGGGGAGCAUUUAUGCACAUUAGGAUAUUUCUUCUUAAACACACUUUAGAAAUAUGUCUUUUUUUAAAAAAAACCAAUACUUUUCUAUUUUCACUCCUCCUUUGUGAGGAGGUUUUAAUGUUAUUCUAAGUGGUAAAAGCUUAGCCUGUUGGGUGAGGAGAACAAAAGGAAUGUGGUUUCCUGAAACAUUUCCAGAAACGAUAUGGGAAAAUAACUCUUGAAAGAGAUGUAGUGCUGGAAACACUUCCUGUUGGAGCAGCAUGUCCACAGCAAAACUUGUUGGGCCAAAUGUAAUAACAGCUCUGCUAUCAUUAUAAAAAUAGUGAGGAGAAGUCAUUCAUGCAACAAAGC